GACGAACGCUGGCGGCGUGCUUAACACAUGCAAGUCGAGCGGUAAGGCCCUUCGGGUACGACGAGCGGCGGACGGGUGAGUAACACGUAGGUAAUCUUCCUUCGAGCGGGGGACGAACGUUCCGAAAGGGACGGCUAAUACCGCAUACGUUUCUUCGGGACGUCUGGUCCUGGGAAGGAAAGCUAGGUCGCAAGAUCCGGCACUCGAUGAGGAGCCUGCGUAGCAUCAGCUAGUUGGUGGGGUAAUGGCCUACCAAGGCGAAGACGCUUAGCUGGUCUGAGAGGAUGAUCAGCCACACUGAAACUGAGACACGGUUCAGACUCCUACGGGAGGCAGCAGUGGGGAAUAUUGGACAAUGGGCGCAAGCCUGAUCCAGCCACGCCGCGUGAGUGAUGAAGGCCUC
rnacentral:rRNA from 1 species